UGGGGAAUAUUGCACAAUGGGCGCAAGCCUGAUGCAGCCAUGCCGCGUGUAUGAAGAAGGCCUUCGGGUUGUAAAGUACUUUCAGCGGAGGAGGAGGCAUUAAGGUUAAUAACCUUAGUGAUUGACGUUACUCGCAGAAGAAGCACCGGCUAACUCCGUGCCAGCAGCCGCGGUAAUACGGAGGGUGCAAGCGUUAAUCGGAAUUACUGGGCGUAAAGCGCACGCAGGCGGUCUGUCAAGUCGGAUGUGAAAUCCCCGGGCUCAACCUGGGAACUGCAUCCGAAACUGGCAGGCUAGAGUCUUGUAGA
rnacentral:rRNA from 1 species